rnacentral:misc_RNA from 7 species
GCCAAAGAGAGAAGCCAUCACCACGGCUUUGAUGCAGACCGAGAUGCCAAAAAGCUGUACAAAGCCUGCAAAGGAAUGGGAACGGAUGAAGCAGCCAUCAUUGAAGUCUUAUCCAGCAGGACAUCGGAGGAGAGGCAACAGAUAAAGCAGAAGUACAAGGAGAAGUAUGGCAAGGACUUAGAGGAGGUGCUUAACAGUGAACUGAGUGGAAACUUCAAGAAGACAGCUUUGGCCCUUCUGGAUCGGCCCAAUGAGUACGCCGCACGGCAGCUGCAGAAAGCUAUGAAGGGCGUAGGCACCGACGAGGCCAUGCUCAUAGAGAUCCUAUGCACACGAAGCAACAAGGAAAUUGUCGCCAUCAAAGAAGCUUACCAAAGGCUAUUUGGCAGGAGCCUUGAAUCUGAUGUCAAAGAAGACACAAGUGGAAACCUGAGAAAGAUUCUGGUGUCCCUGUUACAGUCAACUCCCAGCAGUGAGAGUCCCCUCUUGAGUAGGGGGAUGACUAUCCCGCCUUGCGAUGCAAGAGGCAGGACUGGCACCCUUAAGGUCCUGGCACUCAAUCUGGCACCUUUUCUAAGGAAGCUGAGGCUAACAGCAACCCGUGCACUCAUUGGCAAAGACAUGGAAGAAACCAUUGAAGAAGAGACAUCGGGAGACUUGAAGAAGGCCUAUUUAACUAUAGUGAGAUGUGCCCAGGACCUUGAGGGCUAUUUUGCUGACCUACUAUACAAGGCCAUGAAGGGUAUGGGGACAGAUGAGGAGACAUUAAUUCGCAUCAUUGUGACCAGAGCAGAGGUGGACCUGCAGGGGAUAAAGGCCAAGUUCCAGGAGAAGUAUCAGAAGUCUCUCUCUGACAUGGUUCACUCAGAUACCUCUGGGGACUUCCGGAAACUGCUGGUAGCUCUCUUGCACUGA